CUAACGGCUCCAAGGGAAAGGGAAAAAGGGGCACGCAAAUUCUUCAGAAAGGUUCCUUCAAAAGGCAUCCUUUACACUGCUGUCUGCGUUGUGGAUAUUUUUUCCUCAGUGAUCACCGGGGCACUUCAAAAUGUUCUGUGCUGUGGGCCGGUUCAAUGAACAUAAAAUAAGCAAGCAGCUCAUGACGGAGAGCACAGUUGGAUGUUGGUUAAGAUGCGUCCCACUACCGUCUUGCACCUCAUGUUAAGCUGCCAGUAUAAGUUUUCGUCCAGGCAGCAGGCACAGGAAAGAGUUCCAAAUUAGCAUCCCACUGGCAGAAAUGGUUGCAACGUGAAUUCCUUUCUAGCUGGCCUAGCACCAUCCACUUAGCAAAAAACACGAAUGGGACAAAUGCUGCUGUUCCCUAGCAAGCAGUGAGUUGACCUGGGAGUAGGAAUAGAAUACUGUAUAUCUGCACAAAAAAAAAA